ACUCAUUUUUUCCCCACACACUCCUUUUUGACCAAUUUUCCCACCCCACAUCCCAUUUUGGGGCUCCUUUUGGCCAAUUCUGGGUCUCCUUUCCACCCAUUUUCCCCCCACACACUCCUUUUUGACCCAAUUUUUCCCCCCCACAUCCCAUUUUGGGGCUCCUUUCCACUCAUUUUGGGGCCCCUUUUCACCCAUUUUCCCCCACCACUCUCCUUUUUGACCCAAUUUUUCCCCCCACAUCCCAUUUUGUGUCUCCUUUCUACCCAUUUUUCCCCCCACAACCUCCUUUUUGACCUGAUUUUUUCCCCCACAUCCCUUUUUGGGGCUCCUUUUGACCCAUUCUGAGGCUCCUUUCCACCCAUUUCCCCCCCCCACUCUCCAUUUUGACCCAUUUUUCCCACCUCACAUCCCAUUUUGGGGCUCCUUUUGACCCACUUUCCCCCCACACACUACUUUUUGACCCAGUUUUUCCCCACACAUCCCAUUUUGGGGCUCCUUUCCACCCAUUUUGGGGCCCCUUUUGACCCACUUUUCCCCACCACUCUCCUUUUUGACCCAUUUUUCCCACUGCACGUCCCAUUCUGGGGCUCCUUUCCAUCCAUUUUUCCCCCCACACACUACUUUUUGACCCAAUUUUUCCCCCCACA
rnacentral:lncRNA from 1 species